AUUGAACGCUGGCGGCAGGCCUAAUACAUGCAAGUCGAACGGUGUCUUCGGACAUAGUGGCGCACGGGUGCGUAACACGUAUGCAACCUACCUUACAUUGGGGGAUAGCCUUUCGAAAGGGAGAUUAAUACCGCAUAAGACAGUAGCUGGGCAUCCAGCAGCUGUUAAAGAUUUAUCGAUGUAAGCUGGGCAUGCGUCCAAUUAGCUAGUUGGUGAGGUAACGGCUCACCAAGGCAAUGAUUGGUAGGGGAACUGAGAGGUCAAUCCCCCACACUGGCACUGAGAUACGGGCCAGACUCCUACGGGAGGCAGCAGUAGGGAAUAUUGGGCAAUGGACGCAAGUCUGACCCAGCCAUGCCGCGUGCAGGAUGAAGGCGUUAUGCGUUGUAAACUGCUUUUAUACAGGAAGAAACGACUCUUGCGAGAGGCAUUGACGGUACUGUAUGAAUAAGCACCGGCUAACUCCGUGCCAGCCGCCGCGGUAAGAC
rnacentral:rRNA from 1 species